AACGAACGCUGGCGGCAGGCUUAACACAUGCAAGUCGAACGCAUCCUUCGGGAUGAGUGGCAGACGGGUGAGUAACACGUGGGAACCUACCCAAAGGUACGGAAUAACACAGGGAAACUUGUGCUAAUACCGUAUGUGCCCUUCGGGGGAAAGAUUUAUCGCCUUUGGAUGGGCCCGCGUCGGAUUAGCUAGUUGGUGGGGUAAUGGCCUACCAAGGCGACGAUCCGUAGCUGGUCUGAGAGGAUGAUCAGCCACACUGGGACUGAGACACGGCCCAGACUCCUACGGGAGGCAGCAGUGGGGAAUAUUGGACAAUGGGCGCAAGCCUGAUCCAGCCAUGCCGCGUGAGUGAUGAAGGCCUUAGGGUUGUAAAGCUUUUUCUAGCUGGGAAGAUAAUGACGGUACCAGCAGAAGAAGCCCCGGCUAACUUCGUGCCAGCAGCCGCGGUAAUACGAAGGGGGCUAGCGUUGUUCGGAAUCACUGGGCGUAAAGCGCACGUAGGCGGA
rnacentral:rRNA from 1 species